rnacentral:rRNA from 1 species
UUGGAGGAAAGUAGGGGAUCGCAAGACCUUGCGCUUUUGGAGUGGCCGAUGCCUGAUUAGCUAGUUGGUGGGGUAAGAGCCUACCAAGGCGACGAUCAGUAGUUGGUCUGAGAGGACGACCAGCCACACUGGGACUGAGACACGGCCCAGACUCCUACGGGAGGCAGCAGUGGGGAAUUUUGGACAAUGGGCGAAAGCCUGAUCCAGCAAUGCCGCGUGAGUGAAGAAGGCCUUCGGGUUGUAAAGCUCUUUCAGUCGAGAAGAAAAGGUCGCGACUAAUAAUCGCGACUCAUGACGGUAUCGACAGAAGAAGCACCGGCUAACUACGUGCCAGCAGCCGCGGUAGUACGUAGGGUGCGAGCGUUAAUCGGAAUUACUGGGCGUAAAGGGUGCGCAGGCGGCUUUGUAAGUCAGAUGUGA